rnacentral:rRNA from 1 species
AGUCGAGCGAGCAAUUUUAACGGAAUACCUUCGGGUAGGAAGAUAAAAGCGCGAGCGGCGGAUGGGUGAGUAACACGUGGGCAACCUGCCCUUUAGCUUGGGAUACCACUUGGAAACAGGUGCUAAUACCAAAUAAGAAGCAAGAGCGCAUGCUCAAGCUAUGAAAGGCGGCUUUCGAGCUGUCACUAAAGGAUGGGCCCGCGGUGCAUUAGCUAGUUGGUAAGGUAACGGCUUACCAAGGCAAUGAUGCAUAGCCGAGUUGAGAGACUGAUCGGCCACAUUGGGACUGAGACACGGCCCAAACUCCUACGGGAGGCAGCAGUAGGGAAUCUUCCACAAUGGACGCAAGUCUGAUGGAGCAACGCCGCGUGAGUGAAGAAGGUUUUCGGAUCGUAAAGCUCUGUUGUUGGUGAAGAAGGAUAGGGAUAGUAACUGAUUCUUAUUUGACGGUAAUCAACCAGAAAGUCACGGCUAACUACGUGCCAGCAGCCGCGGUAAUACGUAGGUGGCAAGCGUUGUCCGGAUUUAUUGGGCGUAAAGCGAACGCAGGCGGGAGAACAAGUCAGCUGUGAAAGCCCUCGGCUUAACCGGGGAAGUGCAGCUGAAACUGUUUUUCUUGAGUGCAGAAGAGGAGAGUGGAACUCCAUGUGUAGCGGUGGAAUGCGUAGAUAUAUGGAAGAACACCAGUGGCGAAGGCGGCUCUCUGGUCUGUAACUGACGCUGAGGUUCGAAAGCAUGGGUAGCGAACAGGAUUAGAUACCCUGGUAGUCCAUGCCGUAAACGAUGAGUGCUAAGUGUUGGGAGGUUUCCGCCUCUCAGUGCUGCAGCUAACGCAUUAAGCACUCCGCCUGGGGAGUACGACCGCAAGGUUAAAACUCAAAGGAAUUGAC